UGGAUCUGUGUUAGAGGUACAGUAUGCACACUUGGGAUGUGUGUGGAUCUGUGUUAGAGGUACAGUAUGCACACUUGGGAUGUGUGUGGAUCUGUGUUAGAGGUACAGUAUGCACACUUGGGAUGUGUGUGGAUCUGUGUUAGAGGUACAGUAUGCACACUUGGGAUGUGUGUGGAUCUGUGUUAGAGGUACAGUAUGCACACUUGGGAUGUGUGUGGAUCUGUGUUAGAGGUACAGUAUGCACACUUGGGAUGUGUAUGGAUCUGUGUUAGAGGUACAGUAUGCACACUUGGGAUGUGUGUGGAUCUGUGUUAGAGGUACAGUAUGCACACUUGGGAUGUGUGUGGAUCUGUGCUGGAGGUACAGUAUGCACACUUGGAAUGUGUGUGGAUCUGUGUUAGAGGUACAGUAUGCACACUUGGGAUGUAUGUGGAUCUGUGUUAGAGGUACAGUAUGCACACUUGGGAUGUAUGUGGAUCUGUGUUAGAGGUACAGUAUGCACACUUGGGAUGUGUGUGGAUCUGUGUUAGAGGUACAGUAUGCACACUUGGGAUGUAUGUGGAUCUGUGUUAGAGGUACAGUAUGCACACUUGGGAUGUGUGUGGAUCUGUGUUAGAGGUACAGUAUGCACACUUGGGAUGUGUGUGGAUCUGUGUUAGAGGUACAGUAUGCACACUUGGGAUGUGUGUGGAUCUGUGUUAGAGGUACAGUAUGCACACUUGGGAUGUAUGUGGAUCUGUGUUAGAGGUACAGUAUGCACACUUGGGAUGUGUGUGGAUCUGUGUUAGAGGUACAGUAUGCACACUUGGGAUGUGUGUGGAUCUGUGUUAGAGGUACAGUAUGCACACUUGGGAUGUAUGUGGAUCUGUGUUAGAGGUACAGUAUGCACACUUGGGAUGUAUGUGGAUCUGUGUUAGAGGUACAGUAUGCACACUUGGGAUGUGUGUGGAUCUGUGUUAGAGGUACAGUAUGCACACUUGGGAUGUGUGUGGAUCUGUGUUAGAGGUACAGUAUGCACACUUGGGAUGUAUGUGGAUCUGUGUUAGAGGUACAGUAUGCACACUUGGGAUGUGUGUGGAUCUGUGUUAGAGGUACAGUAUGCACACUUGGGAUGUGUGUGGAUCUGUGUUAGAGGUACAGUAUGCACACUUGGGAUGUGUGUGGAUCUGUGUUAGAGGUACAGUAUGCACACUUGGGAUGUGUGUGGAUCUGUGUUAGAGGUACAGUAUGCACACUUGGGAUGUGUGUGGAUCUGUGCUGGAGGUACAGUAUGCACACUUGGAAUGUGUGUGGAUCUGUGUUAGAGGUACAGUAUGCACACUUGGGAUGUGUGUGGAUCUGUGUUAGAGGUACAGUAUGCACACUUGGGAUGUGUGUGGAUCUGUGUUAGAGGUACAGUAUGCACACUUGGGAUGUGUAUGGAUCUGUGUUAGAGGUACAGUAUGCACACUUGGGAUGUGUGUGGAUCUGUGUUAGAGGUACAGUAUGCACACUUGGGAUGUAUGUGGAUCUGUGUUAGAGGUACAGUAUGCACACUUGGGAUGUAUGUGGAUCUGUGUUAGAGGUACAGUAUGCACACUUGGGAUGUGUGUGGAUCUGUGUUAGAGGUACAGUAUGCACACUUGGGAUGUGUGUGGAUCUGUGUUAGAGGUACAGUAUGCACACUUGGGAUGUAUGUGGAUCUGUGUUAGAGGUACAGUAUGCACACUUGGGAUGUGUGUGGAUCUGUGUUAGAGGUACAGUAUGCACACUUGGGAUGUGUGUGGAUCUGUGUUAGAGGUACAGUAUGCACACUUGGGAUGUGUGUGGAUCUGUGUUAGAGGUACAGUAUGCACACUUGGGAUGUGUGUGGAUCUGUGUUAGAGGUACAGUAUGCACACUUGGGAUCUGUGUGGAUCUGUGUUAGAGGUACAGUAUGCACACUUGGGAUGUGUGUGGAUCUGUGUUAGAGGUACAGUAUGCACACUUGGGAUGUGUGUGGAUCUGUGUUAGAGGUACAGUAUGCACACUUGGGAUGUGUGUUAGAGGUACAGUAUGCACACUUGGGAUGUGUGUGGAUCUGUGUUAGAGGUACAGUAUGCACACUUGGGAUGUGUGUGGAUCUGUGUUAGAGGUACAGUAUGCACACUUGGGAUGUGUAUGGAUCUGUGUUAGAGGUACAGUAUGCACACUUGGGAUGUGUGUGGAUCUGUGUUAGAGGUACAGUAUGCACACUUGGGAUGUGCGGUCAGAGGAUUGCAGUUGAACUAUAAUAUUAAUGAUUCCAAUUGUUUAACAUUUUUUAAAAUAACUGAAUUGACACAUUUCCUGAUCAAAUAUAAGAGCCUACUCUGUCAGCGUGCAGUCACUCCUUCAGCCACUGGGGUUGAUGGCCUUUGCCCAUUUUUUUGGUCACCAUGUCGCUAAUAUAAUGUUGCACAGAAACAAUUAUACACCAUGACUUUCUAGGGUAGACUUCAGCCCUAUGCCUACAUUGUGUGCAUUCCCUUGAAGGUAGUUGUGUCCCCAUGACUCCUUGCAUGUAGGGCUAGUGGGCCUAACGAGGAGUAGGGGGUAUCAAUCUUGCCCCAAUUAAGAAAAUGUUUGGGUUAUUUAAUACUUACAGUGAAUAUUAUUUUUCUUGAUAUCCGCUUAAAGGGACAGUUUGCAACAUAUACACAGAGGACUAGAGGGUCCAGUGUAUUUUACACACUUUAUCCUGCCUUCUCACGGCUUCUUGUACUAAAUGACAUAAUUAUGUACGACGUAACGCAUGCACACGCAUUAGCUUUUAUUAAAGUGGGUGACAUUGUUAUCACCAAGAAAGAUUCUAGAGGCAAAUCUUUCCUGUGAUAAAAUGGCAACCAAGGUCAUCAAACAGGUUAACCAAUGAAGGAGAUUUCGCUACAGAAUCUCCUCUCUGAUCAACAAAAGCACAGUGAAGAUUGUAGCAGGAACUCUCCUUCAACCCUUUUUCCAUUACGCGUGCACCUCCUGGUACCCCAGCACCUCCAAAACCCUCAAAUCUAGACUCCAAACACCCAGAUCAAGCUAGUCCGGUUACUUCUAGACCUCCACCCCAGAUCACACCUCACUCCUACCCACUUCUCCAAAGUGGGCUGGCUCAGGGUGGAGGACAGAGUCAAACAACUUGCACUGAGCCUGGUCUAUAAAAUCCGCUACACCUCCCUGAUACCCAAGUACAUGUCAAACUACCUCCAGAACGUAAAUGAGCUCCACAAACCACGUUAAAUCCAGAUUCCAAUCUAACAAAGGUCUUAACUCAUUCUCCUUCUAUGCCACAUCAAUGUGGAAUGCACUCCCAACAGGUGGAAAAGUAAGUGCAUCUCAUUAUGUUCACUGCUGGCUGUACAUCUCCUACCAAGUCAGACCUACACUGUUUCAAUGUCCAUUUCUCACAGGAUAUCAUUGUUGAUGACUGAAAUAUGCUGAUAGCAACCCAACCCUCCGGAAUGUAAAUAAAUCAAUGUGUAUACUCAAUGUAUGUGAUUGUACGGAAUAUGCACUGUACUGUGCAAUCGACUAAUAAAAGUCUCACUCAAUCAAUCAAUCAAACUUUAGGCGUUGUUAGUUAAUGCUAGUUAGUGUUGGCUGUCAUUGAAUGUAUAUUCUAACAUAACAACUUGACUGCACGUUGUUUGUUGCUUCUCUUGGACUGCUUUAAUUACUGUGUGUGUGUGUGCGUGCGUGCGUGCGUGCGUGUGUAUAUGUGUGUGUGUGUAUGUGUGCGUGCGUGCGUGUGUGCGUGCGUGUGUGCGUGCGUGCGUGUAUGUGUGUGUGUGUGUGUGUGUGUGUGUGUGCGUGUGCGUGCGUGUGUGUUUAUAAGACAGAGUGAAGGACCGCCAUAAACACCAGUCGUUUUAUUCUGGCCAGUAAAAAUGUUUUCCCACAAACUUAGUCAUUGUGCAACAUAAAGACAAUUGUCAAACAAAUGUUUUCUGUCAAACCGCAGCUGCUUGCUGGUGGUGUUCUUAUAUUUUUCGCUUUGAAAAUGGUUCUGUGAGGAAGUUGCAAACAGAAACUUUGAAUGAACAACCUGUAUUCAUAUAUUGAUGAGAAGAGGACUUCUUAACAUUCCAAAGUUUCCAUCAGACGGGGGUCAAGGACUCACUCAAGUAUCAACACUGCGUUAGUCAUCUUACUCUUGAUUCUAAUCGUAUUCAAUCAUUCUAUAUAACUUACUUACAGUUUAGAGCCUUGUCAAAUGUUACCAAAGGUGUUAUUUACCAAGAUUGUUAUUAAUUUAACACAUCAACCGUCUGCUUAGUUCAGGCUGAUUUAGAAAAAAGUAUUUCCUGAAGGAAUCAUUAAAGUACUAUCUAUCUAUCUAUCUAUCUAUCUAUCUAUCUAUCUAUCUAUCUAUCUAUCUAUCUAUCUAUCUAUCUAUCUAU